rnacentral:rRNA from 1 species
AGAGUUUGAUCCUGGCUCAGGACGAACGCUGGCGGCGUGCCUAACACAUGCAAGUCGAACGGAGCUAAGCCCUUCGGGACUUAACUUAGUGGCGAACGGGUGAGUAACGCGUGAGGAACCUGCCUUUCAGUGGGGGACAACAGUUGGAAACGACUGCUAAUACCGCAUAAAACUUCCGGAUGGCAUCAUCUGGAAGUCAAAGAUUUAUUGCUGAAAGAUGGCCUCGCGUCUGAUUAGCUUGUUGGCGGGGUAACGGCCCACCAAGGCGACGAUCAGUAGCCGGUCUGAGAGGAUGAACGGCCACAUUGGGACUGAGAUACGGCCCAGACUCCUACGGGAGGCAGCAGUGGGGAAUAUUGGGCAAUGGGGGAAACCCUGACCCAGCAACGCCGCGUGAAGGAAGAAGGCCUUCGGGUUGUAAACUUCUUUUACCAGGGACGAAGAAGAUGACGGUACCUGGAGAAAAAGCAACGGCUAACUACGUGCCAGCAGCCGCGGUAAUACGUAGGUUGCAAGCGUUGUCCGGAUUUACUGGGUGUAAAGGGCGUGUAGGCGGAGAUGCAAGUUAGGAGUGAAAUCUAUGGGCUCAACCCAUAAACUGCUUCUAAAACUGUAUCCCUUGAGUAUCGGAGAGGCAAGCGGAAUUCCGAGUGUAGCGGUGAAAUGCGUAGAUAUUCGGAGGAACACCAGUGGCGAAGGCGGCCUACUGGGCUUUAACUGACGCUGAGGCUCGAAAGUGUGGGGAGCAAACAGGAUUAGAUACCCUGGUAGUCCACACUGUAAACGAUGAUUGCUAGGUGUGGGGGGUCUGACCCCCUCCGUGCCGGAGUUAACGCAAUAAGCAAUCCACCUGGGGAGUACGGCCGCAAGGUUGAAACUCAAAGGAAUUGACGGGGGCCCGCACAAGCAGUGGAUUAUGUGGUUUAAUUCGAAGCAACGCGAAGAACCUUACCAGGUCUUGACAUCCGACUAACGAGAUAGAGAUAUGUCAGGUGCCCUACGGGGAAAGUCGAGACAGGUGGUGCAUGGUUGUCGUCAGCUCGUGUCGUGAGAUGUUGGGUUAAGUCCCGCAACGAGCGCAACCCCUGCCAUUAGUUGCUACGCAAGAGCACUCUAAUGGGACCGCUACCGACAAGGUGGAGGAAGGUGGGGACGACGUCAAAUCAUCAUGCCCCUUAUGACCUGGGCUACACACGUAAUACAAUGGCCGUCAACAACGAGGAGCAAACCCGCGAGGGGGAGCAAAACUUAAAAAACGGUCUCAGUUCGGAUUGCAGGCUGCAACUCGCCUGCAUGAAGUUGGAAUUGCUAGUAAUCGCGGAUCAGCAUGCCGCGGCGAAUACGUUCCCGGGCCUUGCACUCACCGCCCGUCA